UACGUAAGGUGCGAGCGUUAAUCGGAAUUACUGGGCGUAAAGCGUGCGCAGGCGGUUUUGUAAGUCAGAUGUGAAAUCCCCGGGCUCAACCUGGGAACUGCGUUUGAAACUACAAGGCUAGAGUGUAGCAGAGGGGGGUAGAAUUCCACGUGUAGCAGUGAAAUGCGUAGAGAUGUGGAGGAAUACCAAUGGCGAAGGCAGCCCCCUGGGUUAACACUGACGCUCAUGCACGAAAGCGUGGGGAGCAAACAGG
rnacentral:rRNA from 1 species